UGAACUAUGAUGGAUGGCCAGUG
rnacentral:piRNA from 1 species